CACACGGUAAACGAUGAAUGCUAGGUGUAGGGGGUAUCGACCCCUUCUGUGCCGGAGUAAACACAAUAAGCAUUCCGCCUGGGGAGUACGGUCGCAAGAUUAAAACUCAAAGGAAUUGACGGGGGCCCGCACAAGCAGCGGAGCAUGUGGUUUAAUUCGAAGCAACGCGAAGAACCUUACCAGGUCUUGACAUCCAGUAAAACCUGCAGAGAUGCAGUGUGCCUUCGGGCGUACUGAGACAGGUGGUGCAUGGUUGUCGUCAGCUCGUGUCGUGAGAUGUUGGGUUAAGUCCCGCAACGAGCGCAACCCUUGCCGAUAAUUACUAACAGGUAAUGCUGAGGACUUUAUCGGGACCGCCGGGGACAACUCG
rnacentral:rRNA from 1 species